CAUUAUCGAAUUCUGAGGGGGAGAGGGGACGAUGGGAAGGGUAGCGACUGUCGCUGGCUCCCUUGAGCAUGUGCACGUCUUUCUUUUCGUCGAUCCUUCUCUUUCUUACACACACACACCUGUGCACCCCCAUCGUAGGUCCUCGAAAGAGGGUCUAUGGUUUUUUCACAUCACACCCGUCGUAUGUCCAUAGAAUGUAUUGAAAACGUCGACCUGUUUCGACAGGCCUGAUGGUCAAUUAAAUCAUACAACUUUCAGCAACGGAUCUCUUGGCUCUCGCAUCGAUGAAGAACGCAGCGAAUUGCGAUAAGUAAUGUGAAUUGCAGAUUUUCAGUGAAUCAUCGAAUCUUUGAACGCACCUUGCGCUCCUUGGUAUUCCGAGGAGCAUGCCUGUUUGAGUGUCAUCGAAUUCUCAACCAUGUCUUGAUUUGUUUCGAGGCAUGGCUUGGACUUUGGGGGUUGCUGGUGGCGGAAAUGCCUGUCAGCUCUUCUGAAAUGCAUUAGCGAUGGGCAGCGAGUCUUUGAUGUAUACGGCCUCUCGACGUGAUAAUGAUCGUCGUGGCUGGAGCGUCAGGAUUCAUAUUCAUGUUCACGCAUGAAUCGUUCAUUGCUUCCAAUGUCUAUCUAGGCUAGCACUAGUGUUUUUCGAAACUUGACCUCAAAUCAGGUAGGACUGCCUGCU
rnacentral:misc_RNA from 1 species